UGGGGAAUUUUGGACAAUGGGGGAAACCCUGAUCCAGCCAUCCCGCGUGUGCGAUGAAGGCCUUCGGGUUGUAAAGCACUUUUGGCAGGAAAGAAACGUCGCGGGUUAAUACCCCGCGGAACUGACGGUACCUGCAGAAUAAGCACCGGCUAACUACGUGCCAGCAGCCGCGGUAAUACGUAGGGUGCAAGCGUUAAUCGGAAUUACUGGGCGUAAAGCGUGCGCAGGCGGUUCGGAAAGAAAGAUGUGAAAUCCCAGAGCUUAACUUUGGAACUGCAUUUUUAACUACCGGGCUAGAGUGUGUCAGAGGGAGGUGGAAUUCCGCGUGUAGCAGUGAAAUGCGUAGAUAUGCGGAGGAACACCGAUGGCGAAGGCAGCCUCCUGGGAUAACACUGACGCUCAUGCACGAAAGCGUGGGGAGCAAACAGGAUUAGAUACCCUGGUAGUCCACGCCCUAAAACGAUGUCAACUAGCUGUUGGGGUCUUCGGACCUUGGUAGCGCAGCUAACGCGUGAAGUUGACCGCCUGGGGAGUACGGUCGCAAGAUUAAAACUCAAAGGAAUUGAC
rnacentral:rRNA from 1 species